rnacentral:rRNA from 1 species
GAUGAACGCUGGCGGCGUGCCUAAUACAUGCACGUCGAGCGAACAGACGUGGAUCAUCCUCCUUUGACGUUAGCGGCGGAAGUGUGACUACCACGUGGGUCACCUACCUCUUAGACUGGGAUAACUUCGGGCAACCGGAGUCAAUACCGGGUAAUAUUUCCAACCGCAUGGUUCCUUAGUGAAAGAUGGCCUUUCUAUCACUUAUACAUGUACCUGCGCCGUAUUAGCUAGUUGGUAAGGUACAGGCUUACCAAGGCAACGGUCCGUAGCUGACUUGUGAGGGUGAGCGGCCACAUAGGAGCUGCGACACGGGUCAGACUCCUACGUGAGGCAACAGUAGGGAAUCUUCCGCAAUGGACGAAAGCCUAGCGGAGCAACGCCGCGUGAGUGAUGAAGGUCUUCGGAUCGUAAAACUCUGUUAUUAGGGAAGAACAAACGUGUAAGUAACUGUGCACGUCUUGACGGUACCUAAUCAGAAAGCCACGGCUAACUACGUG